UGUAUGAGCCGCGCGUCGCGUUUUAUACCCAGAACGCAGAAAAAAAGCAAAGCAUAAAUGCGCAUAAUGUCAGCAUUAUCAGAAACGUUUACCGCCUGAUUUUGACCGACAUUGCGACGGCCUUCAAAAAAAGCUGGAAAUUGGGCGAAGAAGUGACCUAAAAUAGCCGUCCAGAUGUUAAUCCAUCCAUACUGAUUAACACUCAGACUGCCAGUGUCAGCGACCUUCAGACUCAUGGUAGAAUCUUCUGUUAUGUCUAUUCCGCACAACAGUUUGAGCUAACUAAAUUCUCCUUAGGUGAAAUUAAAUAUGGCAAAACACCUUUUUACGUCUGAGUCCGUAUCAGAAGGGCAUCCUGACAAAAUCGCAGACCAAAUCUCUGAUGCCGUGUUGGACGCUAUCCUGCAACAGGAUCCGAAAGCACGC
rnacentral:misc_RNA from 1 species